UGUGGUGUGUGUGCAUGUCUGUGGUGUGUGUGUGUAUGUGGUGUGUGUGUGCGUGCAUACGUGUGUGUGUAUGUGGUGUGUGUGUAUGUCUGUGUGUACUCGUGCCUGAAUAAGGGGGUUUAUAUGAGGACAGAGGUGCACUGUGGGAAGAGGGAAGAAGCAGAGCCCUGUGGGUCUCACUGCGUUCUCUCUAGAGCAGCAUGGAAUGUGAAAGGGUGCUGGGCUUUGAUUAUUGGCUCCCGCAGUGCAUUGGCAAAUAUGAAUAAUUCAUGCACAUGCAGCUGAGUUGAAAUGGCCUCAUUCAGGAAUACUAGACACCUUCAAAAACAAGCGUGCAGCAACCACCCGAGCACUAGCAGUUCCACACAAAACAGUGCAGGCCAUUUCACACUAGUUGUUUGACACUGACAUUCGCUAAUUCGCUGUAGAAGGCAGUAAGGAGCACAGAUCUGUAUACAUUGCUGUGAAUACUCCCAGAUUUGACAUUAUUGGAAAUAAAUGUAAAAGGUUGUAAAAGAGCCAGAACCACUUCACUAUCUACAGUCUACUUUAAAAUAUCCUGAUAUGGCCUCUGAUGUUAAGGUUUUUUCGUAAGAACUUUUUUUUUUUAGCAAGAGAUCACGUCUGCGUCAGAACAUGCUCCCUCUGCCAGGUCAGGAAGUCAUUAAGUUUUAACCGUUGCCAUAUUCAGCGAAGAAGCGAAGUGACAUGACUUUGUUCUGCAAACUAUUUUGAGAAACACCUUGAUGUUGCAAGGUGAGCGGAGCUGGGGUGAUGUCACAGUUGACACGUUACCAUGUGCUGUAACCAAGCGACACGCUGCUCUGAGCACAGAGCGCGCUGCGUGCCAGCUGAUCUCUGGAGGAAAUGGGCCGUCUGUGGUACCGAGAAGAUCACUAGCAGGCCCUUGACCGAGAGUAUCAGGACAUGGCAGACCUCUUCAGCAUGUAGUGUCUGUGUGUGUGUGUGUGUGUGUGUGUGUCUGUCUGUCCGUGUGUGUCUGUGUGUGUGUGUGUGUGUGUGCACGUGGGCAGAAUUCUUCGGCAUCGCUAUCAAACUCAGGUCCUGACUGGAGCUGAGUAUUGCCUGGCUUUGGUCCAAUUUCAGUCUUUACUUAAUUAACCCAAUCAUUUCACACAGUCGGCAUUUUUUCAAAUAACACUAAAUCAUGCCUGCAUGCAUCCCGUAUUCUCAAGGAGUGUUUGUCCAUUGUCUCUUUUUGGAAAGACAUUGUGUAAAUGUGUGGAGUGCUAAAUUGGCCUUCUGACCAAUUAAACCUAAGCAAAAAUGAUUUGAAUGAAGCUCUGAAUUUGACACCCAUAAUUUAGAGGAUUAUAUAACAUGCCAUCGCCGAAGCAUGUAAGUACUACAGCUAUCCAUAGCUGGUUUUAUGAAAAGGCAAGAUGGCAACAGCACUGGCAACAACAAAACAUCCUUCCCCAAAAGAACGGUUUUGUUCGUCCUGCUGAAGGUACACCUGUGCUAAUACUGUCGUUUGCUUCCUGUUCCUGAGUGGCUCAGGCGCUUAUAAACGGUAAGCCGCGUUCGCGCUGAGGCUAGCGCGUUUUCUCACAGAGAUGCGUCACGGGUCGCGCGGAGACGGCUGCGAAAAGAGUCAUCAGAAAAAGAAACAUCACGGCCUGAUGUCACAGCCCAAGAAUUCCCCACCUGCCACCUCGGGGCUCGAGGAGUUUCUGCUUCGUCCAAACAUCCAUUACAACUGGCCAGUGAUGGACGGGCCCUUCAGUACUGAAUCAGAACCAGGUCAGUGAUGGACGGGCCCUUCAGUACUGAAUCAGAACCAGGCCAGUGAUGGACGGGCCCUUCAGUACUGAAUCAGAACCAGGCCAGUGAUGGACGGGCCCUUCAGUACUGAAUCAGAACCAGGCCAGUGAUGGACAUGCCCUUCAGUACUGUAUCAGAACCAGGUCAGUGAUGGACAGGUCCUUCAAUACUGAACCAGGCCAGAAUCAGAAGCAGGCCAGUGCUGACGGUGGCCAGGGACUGGGGAGUUCCACUUGGCCAGGAUGACAUCAGCUCAUGGUGCAUCAGUGAUCCCUGCUGAUUGGUUGGAUGCCAACAAGCUCCUGUUGAACCGCCUUCCUCUGACUAGUGUCUGUGUGAGCCUGACAGUGAACUACAGUGUGAUAAGAAACCAAGAUUGCCACUGCAUGCUUCAGAGGAGCACCAGCUGAAUAUCUCUGGUGAAAAGCAGUACAUAAUGCCUAAAUGAAAGGGAUUGACAAUAUUCAAGAUUUGUUUAAAUGCAGCUGGCUAACUACAUUAUUUAGUUCAUGAACUAGUCUGACAUUGACAUGCAUAAGGCAAGUUAUAUAGCUAUGCUAUCUAAGCAGGGUAAGUUAGUCUAGCUAUUGUAGCUACGUAGGUUAAGUUAGUCUUAUGAUAGAGUGGCCUGUCAAAUACUUGGAAAUAAACAAUUUCACAUACAA